ACUUCAGGUCGGACUAGCAUAGUUCAAGUAUAAUGCUCCCUGGCAGCCUGCUUUAGCUUGGGGAUAAAGUUCAGAAACCCUGAAAGUGUGGACAGCAGACAGCCUCCCAGCAUCACUGGGAAGGAACUGAAUGACAGAUGGCGAAAGACAGCUGUUGGAAAGUUCCAAUUAAGCCAAAUUAUGGGUGAAUUUUCCAUCGCAUGCCAAUGGAUAAAAUAUUCCAUGCUAUUACCAACAGUAAGACUGAUCGAGCCAUCAGAGAUUGGGUUGUGGAUAUAGCUCAGCACUCCAUGGCAACCAUGGGGCUCAAGGCUAAAUCCUGGUACAAUGAGAUAGGAGCAGGAGUAAGAAAUUAUUUGAGAACUUGCAACAAAGAAGCAACAAAGGAAGUGACCUGUGAAGCUACUCUUGGCCCUUGAUCACCUUAUAGAAAGAGACAAUGGUGGCAGAGCUUUUUGUCCAUGGUGAAGCCUGUGGUGCUGGUGGCUCAUGGUGUCUUCUCUCUGGGAAAAAAACAGCCUUGACUCCAGAGGGCGCCCCCCCCCAUCCCUCCCAGAUACGUUUUCCCACUGUUCUCAUCAAGGACCCANUCAACAAGAGGGAAUCCACGCUAGGAAAUGGACCUUGAUCCACCUGCCCAAGAUCAAUAUAGUCCUCUGCCCUUAUCAAGAAAACUUCUCUCUGCAACCGAUGGAGACUAUUGGAGAAAGCCACAACUAAUCAAAAUGCAGAGCUGUGGAGUCCAGUCCCAGUGGAUACAUCUACAAAAUACGGUGGCAUCUAAAACUUAGGAUCAUUGUGAAAGGGGUAGAGAGGUUUGUAGGAGCCAAAGGAACUGGGAGUUCCCUGGGAGAUCAUGUCUCCUAGUGAUGUCAGAAGAUUCAGACUCUCAUCAACAUGGCUACCUAAGCCUGAGCUGAGAUGGACGCCUCAGCCCUGCACAAGAACUACAGACAACUAAGAAAUACCGAGAGCAGGGAAAAUGGUCUCCAGGGAAGAACCAUCAAACACCAAAUGAUCAGCCGACAAAACAUAACUACAAGGAACAUUCUACAGAAUGAGGCAAUUAUAUUUAGGAUAUAUAGAUAUACAAAUAUAUGAGACCAUGAAUUUGAAGGGAGUAUAUGAGAGGGUUGAUGAAGGAAAGGGAAGGGUGAAAUGUUAUAAUUUAUAUUAUUAUCUUUAAAAUAAGAUACAUUUUAAAAGUACAAAAACGACAAUAAAGAUUAUUUAUGAAUAGANGCAUGUAAUCACCG
ensembl:processed_transcript Gm16725 predicted gene, 16725